UCGGGAUUCCCAUUCAAUCAUUUCUCACAGUUCAGUAAAAUAGAAACAACGAAAUGAGAGUAACGUUAUUUACGGUUUUAUACCUGCUGAGUGUUGUGUUAAUUUUGGUUAAUACGCUAGAAAAUUGCGUCAAUUUGAAGAAAAAUGUCAGUAGCUAAAAAAACGCCGAAUGUAUUACACAAAUGUUGAAAACAUUUUCAGCUGGAGGAAAUUCUCAAAUGUUGCACAAUUGACGAUUGGCUACCGGAGCGUAAUUUACAAAACUGUACAAACAAGCACAAAUUUCAGUUCUCUGAAAGUAGAAAGGGUUUGCAUGCGUAGAGUCGUGUUACUACCGUUCGCUAGGGAUAGUUGAUGAGUUUGCAGUUAAUUUAACCAGACUGCACGAGAUCAACCGUAAUCGAAAGCAGUACGAACAAGAAACCAUAGAUCAAGCUGCUUACACUUGUAACUAUGAGAAAUAUGAGGAAAUCAUAGACAGACUGAUGUAUCAUCGAACCGAGUGCAACAGCUAUCCGUCACUUUUUGGGGAUUGUAUUAUGAAUGAAAUUCAAAUGAACUGCCAUGAUAAGUUGUGGAGGAAUAGCACGGUUUGUGAUCGGUUCAGAGCAAGAAAGUUUUGUUAAAAUAAACACACUGCUUAAAAACGUUCAGAAAAAAAUAUAUUUGAAAUAAAACUAACAGAAAUCGUCACAAACGUAAAAAUAAUCUCGAGUUAAUUCGUGCU